rfam:Spirochaetes bacterium RBG_13_68_11 RBG_13_scaffold_33045, whole genome shotgun sequence.
GGGCCGCUAGCUCAGUUGGUAGAGCAGAAGACUCUUAAUCUUCGGGUCGCAGGUUCGAGUCCUGCGCGGCUCA